UUAAGCGACUAAGCGUACACGGUGGAUGCCCUGGCAGUCAGAGGCGAUGAAGGACGUGCUAAUCUGCGAUAAGCGUCGGUAAGGUGAUAUGAACCGUUAUAACCGGCGAUUUCCGAAUGGGGAAACCCAGUGUGAUUCGUCACACUAUCAUUAACUGAAUCCAUAGGUUAAUGAGGCGAACCGGGGGAACUGAAACAUCUAAGUACCCCGAGGAAAAGAAAUCAACCGAGAUUCCCCCAGUAGCGGCGAGCGGACGGGGAGCAGCCCAGAGCCUGAAUCAGUGUGUGUGUUAGUGGAAGCGUCUGGAAAGGCGUGCGAUACAGGGUGACAGCCCCGUACACAAAAAUGCACAUAUUGUGAGCUCGAUGAGUAGGGCGGGACACGUGGUAUCCUGUCUGAAUAUGGGGGGACCAUCCUCCAAGGCUAAAUACUCCUGACUGACCGAUAGUGAACCAGUACCGUGAGGGAAAGGCGAAAAGAACCCCGGCGAGGGGAGUGAAAAAGAACCUGAAACCGUGUACGUACAAGCAGUGGGAGCACGCUUAGGCGUGUGACUGCGUACCUUUUGUAUAAUGGGUCAGCGACUUAUAUUCUGUAGCAAGGUUAACCGAAUAGGGGAGCCGAAGGGAAACCGAGUCUUAACUGGGCGUUAAGUUGCAGGGUAUAGACCCGAAACCCGGUGAUCUAGCCAUGGGCAGGUUGAAGGUUGGGUAACACUAACUGGAGGACCGAACCGACUAAUGUUGAAAAAUUAGCGGAUGACUUGUGGCUGGGGGUGAAAGGCCAAUCAAACCGGGAGAUAGCUGGUUCUCCCCGAAAGCUAUUUAGGUAGCGCCUCGUGAAUUCAUCUCCGGGGGUAGAGCACUGUUUCGGCAAGGGGGUCAUCCCGACUUACCAACCCGAUGCAAACUGCGAAUACCGGAGAAUGUUAUCACGGGAGACACACGGCGGGUGCUAACGUCCGUCGUGAAGAGGGAAACAACCCAGACCGCCAGCUAAGGUCCCAAAGUCAUGGUUAAGUGGGAAACGAUGUGGGAAGGCCCAGACAGCCAGGAUGUUGGCUUAGAAGCAGCCAUCAUUUAAAGAAAGCGUAAUAGCUCACUGGUCGAGUCGGCCUGCGCGGAAGAUGUAACGGGGCUAAACCAUGCACCGAAGCUGCGGCAGCGACGCUUAUGCGUUGUUGGGUAGGGGAGCGUUCUGUAAGCCUGCGAAGGUGUGCUGUGAGGCAUGCUGGAGGUAUCAGAAGUGCGAAUGCUGACAUAAGUAACGAUAAAGCGGGUGAAAAGCCCGCUCGCCGGAAGACCAAGGGUUCCUGUCCAACGUUAAUCGGGGCAGGGUGAGUCGACCCCUAAGGCGAGGCCGAAAGGCGUAGUCGAUGGGAAACAGGUUAAUAUUCCUGUACUUGGUGUUACUGCGAAGGGGGGACGGAGAAGGCUAUGUUGGCCGGGCGACGGUUGUCCCGGUUUAAGCGUGUAGGCUGGUUUUCCAGGCAAAUCCGGAAAAUCAAGGCUGAGGCGUGAUGACGAGGCACUACGGUGCUGAAGCAACAAAUGCCCUGCUUCCAGGAAAAGCCUCUAAGCAUCAGGUAACAUCAAAUCGUACCCCAAACCGACACAGGUGGUCAGGUAGAGAAUACCAAGGCGCUUGAGAGAACUCGGGUGAAGGAACUAGGCAAAAUGGUGCCGUAACUUCGGGAGAAGGCACGCUGAUAUGUAGGUGAAGUCCCUUGCGGAUGGAGCUGAAAUCAGUCGAAGAUACCAGCUGGCUGCAACUGUUUAUUAAAAACACAGCACUGUGCAAACACGAAAGUGGACGUAUACGGUGUGACGCCUGCCCGGUGCCGGAAGGUUAAUUGAUGGGGUCAGCGCAAGCGAAGCUCUUGAUCGAAGCCCCGGUAAACGGCGGCCGUAACUAUAACGGUCCUAAGGUAGCGAAAUUCCUUGUCGGGUAAGUUCCGACCUGCACGAAUGGCGUAAUGAUGGCCAGGCUGUCUCCACCCGAGACUCAGUGAAAUUGAACUCGCUGUGAAGAUGCAGUGUACCCGCGGCAAGACGGAAAGACCCCGUGAACCUUUACUAUAGCUUGACACUGAACAUUGAGCCUUGAUGUGUAGGAUAGGUGGGAGGCUUUGAAGUGUGGACGCCAGUCUGCAUGGAGCCGGCCUUGAAAUACCACCCUUUAAUGUUUGAUGUUCUAACGUGGACCCGUGAUCCGGGUUGCGGACAGUGUCUGGUGGGUAGUUUGACUGGGGCGGUCUCCUCCUAAAGAGUAACGGAGGAGCACGAAGGUUGGCUAAUCCUGGUCGGACAUCAGGAGGUUAGUGCAAUGGCAUAAGCCAGCUUGACUGCGAGCGUGACGGCGCGAGCAGGUGCGAAAGCAGGUCAUAGUGAUCCGGUGGUUCUGAAUGGAAGGGCCAUCGCUCAACGGAUAAAAGGUACUCCGGGGAUAACAGGCUGAUACCGCCCAAGAGUUCAUAUCGACGGCGGUGUUUGGCACCUCGAUGUCGGCUCAUCACAUCCUGGGGCUGAAGUAGGUCCCAAGGGUAUGGCUGUUCGCCAUUUAAAGUGGUACGCGAGCUGGGUUUAGAACGUCGUGAGACAGUUCGGUCCCUAUCUGCCGUGGGCGCUGGAGAACUGAGGGGGGCUGCUCCUAGUACGAGAGGACCGGAGUGGACGCAUCACUGGUGUUCGGGUUGUCAUGCCAAUGGCACUGCCCGGUAGCUAAAUGCGGAAGAGAUAAGUGCUGAAAGCAUCUAAGCACGAAACUUGCCCCGAGAUGAGUUCUCCCUGACCCUUUAAGGGUCCUGAAGGAACGUUGAAGACGACGACGUUGAUAGGCCGGGUGUGUAAGCGCAGCGAUGCGUUGAGCUAACCGGUACUAAUGAACCGUGAGGCUUAACCUU
rnacentral:rRNA from 1 species